GGAGGUCUGAGGGGCUGACCUAGGUCUGUUGGAGGUCUGAGGGGCUGACCUAGGUCUGUUGGAGGUCUGAGGGGCUGACCUAGGUCUGUUGGAGGUCUGAGGGGCUGACCUAGGUCUGUUGGAGGUCUGAGGGGCUGACCUAGGUCUGUUGGAGAUCUCAGAGGGGCUGACCUAGGUCUGUUGGAGGUCUGUUGGAGGUCUCAGAGUGGCUGACUUAGGUCUGUUGGAGGUCUGAGGGACUGACCUAGGUCUGUUGGAGGUCUGAAGGGCUGACCUAGGUCUGUUGGAGGUCUCAGAGGGGCUGACCUAGGUCUGUUGGAGGUCUGAGGUCUGAUGGGCUGACCUAGGUAUGUUGGAGGUCUGAGGGGCUGACCUAGGUCUGUUGGAGGUCUGAGGGGCUGACCUAGGUCUGUUGGAGGUCUGAGGGGCUGACCUAGGUCUGUUGGAGGUAUGAGGUCUGAUGGGCUGACCUAGGUCGGUUGGAGGUCUCAGAGGGGCUGACCUAGGUCUGUUGGAGGUCAGAGGGGCUGAACUAGGUCUGUUGGAGGUCAGAGGGGCUGACCUAGGUCUGUUGGAGGUAUCUGAUGGGCUGACCUAGGUCUGUUGGAGGUCUGAGGGGCUGACCUAGGUCUGUUGGAGGUCUGAUGGGCUGACCUAGGUCUGUUGGAGGUAUCAGAGGGCCUGACCUUGAUCUGUUGGAGGUCUCUGAUGGGCUGACCUAGGUCUGUUGGAGGUAUCUGAGGGGCUGACCUAGGUCUGUUGGAGGUCUGAGGGACUGACCUAGGUCUGUUGGAGGUCUGAAGGGCUGACCUAGGUCUGUUGGAGGUCUGUUGGAGGUCUCAGAGGGGCUGACCUAGGUCUGUUGGAGGUCUGAUGGGCUGACCUAGGUAUGUUGGAGGUCUGAGGGGCUGACCUAGGUCUGUUGGAGGUCUGAGGGGCUGACCUAGGUCUGUUGGAGGUCUGAGGGGCUGACCUAGGUCUGUUGGAGGUAUGAGGUCUGAUGGGCUGACCUAGGUCGGUUGGAGGUCUCAGAGGGGCUGACCUAGGUCUGUUGGAGGUCAGAGGGGCUGAACUAGGUCUGUUGGAGGUCAGAGGGGCUGACCUAGGUCUGUUGGAGGUAUCUGAUGGGCUGACCUAGGUCUGUUGGAGGUCUGAGGGGCUGACCUAGGUCUGUUGGAGGUCUGAUGGGCUGACCUAGGUCUGUUGGAGGUAUCAGAGGGCCUGACCUUGAUCUGUUGGAGGUCUCUGAUGGGCUGACCUAGGUCUGUUGGAGGUAUCUGAGGGGCUGACCUAGGUCUGUUGGAGGUCUGAGGUUUGAUGGGCUGACCUAGGUAUGUUGGAGGUCUGAGGGGCUGACCUAGGUCUGUUGGAGGUCUGAGGGGCUGACCUAGGUCUGUUGGAGGUCUGAGGGGCUGACCUAGGUCUGUUGGAGAUCUCAGAGGGGCUGACCUAGGUCUGUUGGAGGUCUGAGGGGCUGACCUAGGUCUGUUGGAGGUCUGAGGGGCUGACCUAGGUCUGUUGGAGGUCUGAGGGGCUGACCUAGGUCUGUUGGAGGUCUGAG